UGCUCCAGAAGUGGGUAGCCUAACCGCAAGGCGGGCGCUUACCAAGGAGUGAUCGGUGACUGGGGUGAAGUCGUAACAAGGUAUCCCUACCGGAAGGUGGGGAUGGAUCACCUCCUUUCUAGGAGUUCGUUCGAGCCUCGAGCUCGGACACUUCAGGUCGAACCCGCGGGCAUUCGUGCAUCAUUCGCGGUCCCCUCCUCUCCAGUUUUCAGGGAGUGAACGCUUCCUGAAAACAGGUUGUCUUCAGAAAACCUGGGCGUGUAGCUCAGUUGGUUAGAGCGCCGCCCUGAUAAGGCGGAGGUCGGAGGUUCAAAUCCUCCCACGCCCACGACCAAACUCUACGCCGCACCCGCGGCAGAGAGUCGGGGGACUAGCUCAGCUGGGAGAGCGCGGGCUUUGCAAGCCUGAGGUCAGCGGUUCGAUCCCGCUAUCCUCCAUCACGUCCAGGUCCGAAACGAAGACUGCUACUUUAGAUCUGAAUAGACGAACAAGACCACCGGAAGGUCGCCACAAUGCACAGUCACUGAUUGUGCGAGUGUGGCAACCGAACCGAGUAGCACAUUUCCGUCGACGAGCGUCGUGAGACGCUCGCAACGAGUCUCGAUCUGCCCGCAGGCAGAUCAUCAAAAAAGGGACUCGAGCGCGCCGAGCAGCAGCUCGGCAGCACCAAGUAGGGCUCGUGGCGACGAAAGGAACCUCGAGCUCGACCCAUCUG
rnacentral:misc_RNA from 1 species